GUGGGGAAUUUUGGACAAUGGGGGCAACCCUGAUCCAGCCAUGCCGCGUGCGGGAAGAAGGCCUUCGGGUUGUAAACCGCUUUUGUCAGGGAAGAAAUCCUUUGGGUUAAUACCUCGGAGGGAUGACGGUACCUGAAGAAUAAGCACCGGCUAACUACGUGCCAGCAGCCGCGGUAAUACGUAGGGUGCGAGCGUUAAUCGGAAUUACUGGGCGUAAAGCGUGCGCAGGCGGUUUUGUAAGAUCGAUGUGAAAUCCCCGGGCUCAACCUGGGAAGUGCAUUCGUGACUGCAAGGCUAGAGUGUGUCAGAGGGAGGUGGAAUUCCGCGUGUAGCAGUGAAAUGCGUAGAGAUGCGGAGGAACACCGAUGGCGAAGGCAGCCUCCUGGGAUAACACUGACGCUCAGGCACGAAAGCGUGGGGAGCAAACAGGAUUAGAUACCCCAGUAGUCC
rnacentral:rRNA from 1 species